rnacentral:rRNA from 2 species
CGAACGGCAGCACAGAGGAGCUUGCUCCUUGGGUGGCGAGUGGCGGACGGGUGAGGAAUACAUCGGAAUCUACUCUGUCGUGGGGGAUAACGUAGGGAAACUUACGCUAAUACCGCAUACGACCUACGGGUGAAAGCAGGGGACCUUCGGGCCUUGCGCGAUUGAAUGAGCCGAUGUCGGAUUAGCUAGUUGGCGGGGUAAAGGCCCACCAAGGCGACGAUCCGUAGCUGGUCUGAGAGGAUGAUCAGCCACACUGGAACUGAGACACGGUCCAGACUCCUACGGGAGGCAGCAGUGGGGAAUAUUGGACAAUGGGCGCAAGCCUGAUCCAGCCAUACCGCGUGGGUGAAGAAGGCCUUCGGGUUGUAAAGCCCUUUUGUUGGGAAAGAAAUCCAGCUGGCUAAUACCCGGUUGGGAUGACGGUACCCAAAGAAUAAGCACCGGCUAACUUCGUGCCAGCAGCCGCGGUAAUACGAAGGGUGCAAGCGUUACUCGGAAUUACUGGGCGUAAAGCGUGCGUAGGUGGUCGUUUAAGUCCGUUGUGAAAGCCCUGGGCUCAACCUGGGAACUGCAGUGGAUACUGGGCGACUAGAGUGUGGUAGAGGGUAGCGGGAAUUCCUGGUGUAGCAGUGAAAUGCGUAGAGAUCAGGAGGAACAUCCAUGG